AAAUUGAAGAGUUUGAUCAUGGCUCAGAUUGAACGCUGGCGGCAGGCCUAACACAUGCAAGUCGAACGGUAACAGGAAACAGCUUGCUGUUUCGCUGACGAGUGGCGGACGGGUGAGUAAUGUCUGGGAAACUGCCUGAUGGAGAGGGAUAACUACUGGAAACGGUAGCUAAUACCGCAUAACGUCGCAAGACCAAAGAGGGGGACCUUCGGGCCUCUUGCCAUCGGAUGUGCCCAGAUGGGAUUAGCUAGUAGGUGGGGUAACGGCUCACC
rnacentral:rRNA from 1 species